UACGUAGGGGGCUAGCGUUGUCCGGAAUCAUUGGGCGUAAAGAGCGUGUAGGCGGUCCGGUAAGUCCGCUGUGAAAGUCGGGGGCUCAACCCUCGAAUGCCGGUGGAUACUGUCGGGCUAGAGUGCGGAAGAGGCGAGUGGAAUUCCUGGUGUAGCGGUGAAAUGCGCAGAUAUCGGGAGGAACACCAAUUGCGAAGGCAGCUCGCUGGGACGUUACUGACGCUGAGACGCGAAAGCGUGGGGAGCAAACAGG
rnacentral:rRNA from 1 species